GACGAACGCUGGCGGCGUGCUUAACGCAUGCAAGUCGAACGAAGAGCGAUGGAAGCUUGCUUCUAUCAAUCUUAGUGGCGAACGGGUGAGUAACGCGUAAUCAACCUGCCCUUCAGAGGGGGACAACAGUUGGAAACGACUGCUAAUACCGCAUACGAUCUAAUCUCGGCAUCGAGGAUAGAUGAAAGGUGGCCUCUACAUGUAAGCUAUCACUGAAGGAGGGGAUUGCGUCUGAUUAGCUAGUUGGAGGGGUAACGGCCCACCAAGGCGAUGAUCAGUAGCCGGUCUGAGAGGAUGAACGGCCACAUUGGGACUGAGACACGGCCCAGACUCCUACGGGAGGCAGCAGUGGGGAAUCUUCCGCAAUGGACGAAAGUCUGACGGAGCAACGCCGCGUGAGUGAUGACGGCCUUCGGGUUGUAAAGCUCUGUUAAUCGGGACGAAAGGCCUUCUUGCGAAUAGUGAGAAGGAUUGACGGUACCGGAAGAGAAAGCCACGGCUAACUACGUG
rnacentral:rRNA from 1 species